ACUUUGAGAAUGUAUAGCAUACAUGUUUAUUUUGUUUAAAUACACUUUUAUGUAUCAUCAAAUACAGAACACAGGAUCUUCAUUUGAUAACAUUACCAUUUAUAUACUCUUUAGUACUGUCAUUCUUAAUAACAUAUUGUAGGAGAGAGUAGAAUUGAUCUGAUGGGUGUAAAGGGGAGACUACCUGACAUUUGUUUUAGUACUGAAAAAGGUAAGGCAGGUAUUGGAGCACUAUAGAGGAGACAUCGUAAAAUAAGCCCUGCUUCAUUAUCUCAUGUCCUUACUGGGCCUUCUUUCAGUAUGGCUACUUAGAAAGCAUAAUGUAUGUAAUCUUGUUCUUUGUGUUUGGGGUUGCUGUUUUGAUACGCACUGUGAUUUAAAUAGCACACUGUCAUUCCAAUACUACAAAAAACUCAAAAUGCAUACAGUGUUAAGUGUGAGCAUUUUCUGUAUGCAUGUAACACUUUAAUGGCAUACUACAUUUGCUAUAUUCAACCAGAGCUUGCUAACUGGAGUACUGCUUUCCCAAUUCAGUGCAUCCAUCAUCACACUUUCCUUUCAGCUUUAAAAAGCUGAAAUCUAGGAAUAAGUCUGGUUUAAAGAUUUAGUGUACUGCAAUUUAAAGGAAUAUUACAGGUUCAAUACAAGUUGAUUCCCACAAAAAAUUAUUUCUGCUUGUCCCCUCUUUUCUAAAAAAAACAAAACAAAAGAGGUUACAGUCAGACACUUACAAUGGAAGUGAAUGGGGCCAAUUUUUGGUUGUUUGUGUUUGAGUGUUUGUUUGUAGGCUAAUUCACAGUAGUGUAAUACGCUUCUCAUUCAACAUCUGAUAAAAUGCUUGUCCGGUGCCAUUCUCAAUGCAUGUUAUAGGUGGACCGAACUAUUGAUCAUUUACAUCUGAGAUGGAGUUUGUGUGGAGCGACCACAUUUUGUGCUGAGCAGCGCAUCAUGAGCCUCUGCGCGUGUUUAUGUGUGUGUGUCAGCAGAGCGGCGCUUGUUCAGUAAAGCGUGGUGCCAGAGAGACUACUUAGCUGUGCGUGCUGACUGUAUAUUUAUUAUUAAACACAGCCUUUUGCAAUUCACAAAGCUUUUGGAUGAUCGUAAGAGCCUGAAUAAAAUGCACGAGUUAUGUGGACUAUUUUAAUGGUGAUUUUUAGGUUAUCUAUGCCAUUAUUUGAGCUUGACAUGCGGUAUCGGGCUUGUCGGACCAAUACCCGAUCUGGGUAAAAACGUCAGUAUCCGACCCGAUACUGAUCCAGGUAUCGAAUCGGUGCCAUUUCUAGUUCAAAGACAUAAAUGUGAAGCUUAGAAUGUUAUAAAAGCCCUUACAUUAUUUCAUGUGUAUUAUUUAAGCUGUAAAGUUUUUUAAAUCAUCGUUUUUGCGGCAGACUACUAAAUUACCGGAAUUACAGGGAUGUAAAAGUUGGAAAAGUUAUAUCCAACACUGUAAACCCUAAAGUUGUCAUUACUGGAAAUAUCAGGUUUUGGGUUCAUAACUCAAGUAUAUAAGUUAAUUAAACUUAUACUGUAUAUCUUACAAAUCAACAGACUUAAGAUUUUAAGGGUUAACUAAAAAUGUUGAGUGCAAAAUUGAGGCUAUGGGUAAUAUCCAGAUUGCUUUGCGCUUGAAUUAUUGCAUUAUGUUUCCUUGGUCAAAGAGAAGUUAUGAGGGCAUUUAAAUAGUUGUAAUUAAGAAUUUACAGAGGUUUAAGCUCUUUUGUAGUAUUAUUUGUGUUGUUUUGUUGCAAAUAGUUGUUUCAUGUGGUCACCAUUUGAUCAAGUUGGACACUCUUGACUAAUUCUCUUUGUGCAUGUGCAGUUAAAGUCCAGGUAUAUACACUAUAUUGCCAAAAGUAUUCGCUCAUCUGCCUUUAGACGCAUAUGAACUUAAGUGACAUCCCAUUCUUAAUCCAUAGGGUUUAAUAUGACGUCGGCCCACCCUUUGCAGCUAUAACAGCUUCAACUCUUCUGGGAAGGCUUUCCACAAGGUUUAGGAGUGUGUUUAUGGGACUUUUUGACCAUUCUUCCAGAAGUGCAUUUGUGAGGUCAGACACUGAUGUUGGACGAGAAGACCUGGCUCGCAGCCUUCGCUAUAAUUCAUCCCAAAGGUGCUCUAUCGGGUUGAGGUCAGGACUCUGUGCAGGCCAGUCAAGUUCUUCCACACCAAACUCGCUCAUCCAUGUCUUUAUGGACAUUGCUUUGUGCAAGACUCGUCCAUCAGACUCGUCCAUCAGAUUGCCAGAUGGAGAAGCGUGAUUCGUCACUCCAGAGAACGCAUCUCCCCUGCUCUAGAGUCCAGUGGCGGCAUGCUUUACACCACUGCAUCCGACGCUUUGCAUUGCACUUGGUGAUGUAUGGCUUGGAUGCAGCUGCUCGGCCAUGGAAACCCAUUCCAUGAAGCUCUCUACACACUGUUCUUGAGCUAAUCUGAAGGCCACAUGAACUUUGGAGGUCUGUAGAGAUUGACUCUGCAGAAAGUUGGCGACCUCUGCGCACUAUGCACCUCAGCAUCCGCUGACCCUGCUCUGUCAUUUUACGUGGCCUUGGAGUUGCUGUCAUUCCCAAUCGCUUCCACUUUGUUAUAAUACCACUGACAGUUGACUGUGGAAUAUUUAGUAGCGAGGAAAUUUCACGACUGGAAUUGUUGCACAGGUGGCAUCCUAUCACAGUACCACGCUGGAAUUCACUGAGCUCCUGAGAGUGGCCCAUUCUUUCACAAAUGUUUGUAGAAGCAGUCUGCAUGCCUAGGUGCUUCAUUUUAUACACCUGUGGCCAUGGAAGUGAUUGGAACACCUGAAUUCAAUUAUUUGGAUGGGUGAGCGAAUACUUUUGGCAAUAUAGUGUAUAUGCAUUUCUUUGGAGAAUUAAGUUUAAUGACUGACCUAGAAUCAGUUAUGAUCUUUAUUUGAGCUGUGCUACUGUUUGAUCUAAAAUUGAAUGAAUUCAAUAAAAAUAUGAACAGCAGAAACAACAAUACUUAAAUAGCAAAUCUGAGUUAAGUCUACUUGCAUCUAGUAAACCUAAACAGUUAAGUUCAUUCUAUACGUACAUCAAGUUAUUUGAACUUAAAUUACAUACAUUUUGAAGACGCCAUUACUCGAUUCAACUGAGGGAAUGAGUUUGCUCAAUCAAAUGAGUCAACUUAUUAGGGUUUUCAGUCAAUUUUCCAAAGUUAAAAGGCCAUUUUACCACUCUAAAAUCAUGUGAAUACACAUAUUUUUUAUGUCGUGUGGCUAUACUUUUGAAACAGUGUGUAUUUUAACGUUUACGGAUUGGCCUCAUUGACUUUCAUUGGAAGUGCCUUACUGUAACCUCGUUUUUUUUUUUUAUAAAGAAAAGGAGCGACAAUUCAAUAUACAUUUUUGUGUUAAUUAACAUUAUGCCACAAAUGUGAUCGAUUAAGCUUAACUUGUAUUGAACCCGGAAUAUUCCUUUAAGAUAUGGAACACAUAUCUUGAUUUGAAGGCAGAAAACACUGAUUUUUCCUUCAUACAGGAAGGUGUCUAAUUCACACCUAAAAGUUUUUGUGAACAUAAUUCUAAUGGCACAAGGGUAGAUUCACAUUUCUAUCAUGAUCAAUGGACAUUUUAACCUUUGUAAAAAGUUGUCACCAAAGAUCUUUGAUGAUAGCAUACACAAUUUUUCAGUUUAAAGUGUGUAAAAGUGAUAAAAAGUAUUUGAGAUAUGUUAAAAAUGUAUAUGCUGAGAAACUUUUUAGGACUACAGACUCAUAAUACCACAAAGUAUUGUUUAGUAUUACAAUAACACGGCAUUAUUUUCCAGUGUUUUUCCUUCACUGGUAAUUCAGUCAUUCAAAAGUGUGCCCAAACAAGAGUUUAUUCAGAGACAGAAACAUGUUUGACCAUACUAGGCACCCCAUCAACAAAAAAAAAAAAACAAAAAAAACAUUUGGUUCUUGGUCAGGUUAGGGUUUUGGUUGAAAUAAACCAACUUUACAAACCCUUUUCCAUUAAAAUAAGAAAACAAACACCAAUGGUUAAAAAAACCAAUUUCAAAACAAGCAUUUCUGAUUUCCUAUUAGCAAAUAUUCUUUAGAAGUUAAAACUCAUACCACAAAACCGUUGCAUGUGAUGUAAUCAAGUUGAGCACAGUUUCCUUCGACAAUUUGAAAUCCAACAGUCCCAAACUAGAAUAACAUUGGUAAACUAACAGCUUGCCAUCAGAAACGCAACAGACUGAUUUAAAACAUUUUAAGUCGCUGAAUGCAGUUUCAUCCAGUUCAAAAUUCUCAAAAUAUCCCCUUGCACUACUGGGGAGUCUAGUUUUGUGCAUUUGAAGGUGUUACUCAUCACAAACUGUUCUUCUUUAACCUCUACAGGAAAAAAAAAAGCUUUUUGACUAACAAGGCCUUCAUAAAUGGCCUUUUUAGAACCAUCAAGAAAUGAAACGUGCAAAGAAACUUUACCAGUUGCUGCUCUUGUUGUAAAUUAAACAUUAAGUACAUACCUUUACACCAUUCUGAAACUAGUUUUGUUGAUUUUCUUAAAUGUUACAGAGAUAACGAGUAACAGGAAGCAUGUCCUAAAUCAGUGUAAAGCGCUUGUCAACCUGACACGCUAUUGUUUGAACUGCAAAAUGACAUACAAAAUCCUGAAAUGUAUUCCUCUAUUUCAGUUUCCUUUUUGUUUAUCAGACAAGAUAUGAUCAGAAACAGUGAAAUGGUUAUCACAGGUUUGUUAAAGGGGAAAAAACAGCCAGUCUGUGAACUCACAAAAAUUUUAAUAAAUGAUGGCUUACUUUAACAGAACACCAGAAACGAGCUACAGUCAAUACAGCACUGUGGUAAGCAAAACCAGCAACCCCUGAUUACCGUCUAAAGUAGAUACACCUUACGAACACUUACUUUUCAUUUCAUUUUUAGCACAUAGAUGCCAAAACUCCAAGAAUGUAAUGUAUCAGUGUCAGCGAUAUGACUGAGAGCAGCUUCUCAUUGGUUAAUAACCAAUAAAGGGUCCAGACAAAUGCCAAGAGCAAAGGGACGGCAAUGGUUUGCUUUCAAAAAAGUCAUGUAAACAUGUAAAUGUAAGAUACAGAAAUAGCAAUGAUCGCAAAAUGAGGCAGUGGUGGGAAAAGGCAAUGAUGACACGGAUGUGUAGUCAGACAAACAUGGCAUCAAAGCCAGUACUGAGACAGAUGUUAACCUUUUAAGUCAUGAAAUUGCAUGUCGAAAAAUUUAAGUGACCAAAAUAUCAAUAAAAACAAAAAAACUAACAAGUAUGAAAUCUGUAAAAUACAGGCCUAAAUACAAAAUCUCAGAUUAUUUUGUGCAACCACAAUAACUUUAGUAUUGUUUAGUAGUUAUGUUUCUUUGUAAACAUUUUGCAGUUCAGUCAAAUGCAAAUAGCUAAAUUUUGCUCUUUAAAUAAUAAAUCAAUGGAUUUUCUUAAAUCCCAUAAUCAAGAGCAAUAGUCAUCAUAAAUAAUAAAAAUCAGGCAGCCAUUUUUUUGUUAACAAUGCUUCAGGAAGUUCCGCUGUUGGAUCAGUUAAAAUUCAAAAUCUCAUGUCAAAAAUUAAUAGUCUGAUCAAUGAGGGAUAGUCACCCAAAUUAAUAAUUCUGUCAGAAUAUGCUCACCAUAAUGUACUCAUGUUAUAAAAAAAGACACACACACAAAAAAAAGUCAUAUGGGUCUGGAACGUCAUGAGGAUGGGUAAAUGAUUACAGAAUGUCCAUUUUGGGUGAACUAUCCCUUUAAGUUACUUACUGUAUCAACUGACUUGUGCAAUAAAAACCUAUAUUGGACUGUUACUUGAGAGACUGUUUUAAUGUAGUGUAAGAGUCUAUGCAACUCCACUCAAGUCAAUAAUAAGUUCACAGUAUAUUUUGGACAUACAGUGGCAAGAAAAAGUAUGUGGACCCUUUGGAAUUAUCUGCAUUUACUGUAUGUAUAAAUUUGUCUUAAAAUCAGGUUUGAUUUUCAUCGAAAUUACAGUAAUGAACAAACACAAUCUGUUUUAACUAAUAACACAAAUUAUUAUAUUGUUCUUGUACAUAUUGAAUACAUCAUUCAAACAUUCACAGUGUAGGUUGGAAAAAGUAUGUGAACCCCUAGGCUAGUGACGUCGACAAAAGGCAAUUAGAAUCAAGAGUUGGCAAACCUGGCAUAAAAUUAAUGAAACUAGACUGGAGGUGUAGGUUAGAGCUGCUUUGACUUAUAAAAAGCACUCAAACAUUUUUCAUUUGCUAUUCACAAGAAGCAUCUGCUGACGUGGAUCAUGCCUCACAAAAAAGAGAUCUCAGAAGACUUGCAAUCAAGAAUUGUUGCUUUGAAUAUAGCUGGAAUGGGUUACAAAGCUAUCUCGAAGAGCUUAGAUAUUCAUCUGUCCACAGUUAGACAAAUUGUCUAUAAAUGGAGAUUUAGUACUGUGGCUACUCUCCCUAGAAGUGGCCAUCCAGCCAAGAUUACUCAAAGGGCACACCGCAGAAUGCUCAAUGAAAUAAAGAACCCUAGAGUGACAGCUAAAGAUUUGAAGAAAUCAUUGGAACUGGUUAACUUCUCUGUUAAUGAGUCUACUAUACGAAAAACAAUUAUAAUUAAUUAAUUAUAAUUUCAUUUAUUUAUCACACAUUAUACAUUUGCACAUAUACAGUGAAAUUCUUUUUUUCACAUAUCCCAGCUAAGCUGGGGGUCAGAGUGCAGGGUCAGCCAUGAUACGGUGCCCCUGGAGCAGACUGGGUCAAGAGCCUUGCUCAAGGGCCCAACAGUGGCAUCUUGGCAGUACUGGGGCUUGAACCCCUGACCUUCUGAGCAAUAACCCAGUGCCUUAACUGCUGAGCCACCACUGCCCCCUGAUGAAUCUACAUUAUAGAGGCAUGAUGUCCAUGGCAGGACACCACGAAGGAAGCCACUGAUUUCCAACAAAAACUUGAAACUUGUCUGAAGUUUGCCAAAGACCACUUUGACACUCCACAUCGCUACUUGGAAAAUGUUUUGAGGACUGAUGAAACUAAGGUUGAAUUGAAGAACACGCAGCACUAUGUUUGGCGUAAAAAGUGCACCGCAUAACAACAGGAAAACAUCAUCCCAACGGUGAAGUACGGUGGAGGGAGCAUCAUGAUUUGGGGCUGUUUUGCUGCUUCAGGGCAUGGACCGCUUUCCAUCAUCGAGGGAAAAAUGAAUUCUCAAGUUUAUCAUGAUAUGCUACAGGAUAAUGUCAGAGUGGCUGUGCGCCAGCUGAAGCUCAGUAGAAAUUCAAUGAUGCAGCAAGACAAUGACCCUAAACAUCAAAAUAAAUCCACCACAGAAUGGCUUCAAAAAAAGAAAAUCCACCUUUUUGAGUGGCACAUUUAGAGCCCAGACCUUAACCCAAUAGAGAUGCUGUGGAGCCGUUCACACCAGACAUCCUAAGAGUAUGGCUGAACUGAAGCAGUUCUGUAAGGAAGAAUGGUCCAAAAUUCCUUCUGAACGUUGUGCAGGUCUAAUCCGCAGCUACUGCAAACGCUUGGUUGAGGUUUUUGCUGCCAAAGGAGGAUUGACCAGUUAUUAACCCAAGGGUUCACUUACUUUUUCCACCGCACUGUGAUUGUUUAAUGGGAUGUGUUCAGUAAAGACAUGAAAGAUUAUAAUUGUUUGUGUGUUGUUAGCUUAAGAACGUUGUGUUUGUCUAUACUUGUGAUUUUGAUGAAUAUGAGAUAUUUUAUAACCAAUUAAUGCAGAAAACCAGCUUCAUUUUUCUUGCCACUGUAUAGACAUACUCAUUAUAAAAAGUAAAAUAACUUACUAGAUAUGUCAUAGCAGCAGUUGUUUUUCUUUUCGUUACCCUUUUAAAAACGAAUCUCUUUUUAGGAGACCCUGUAAUUUCAGUUUAACGCUGUUUCAGGAUUGGCACAGAAGAUAAUUUCUUUUUAAAUAUUUUGGCCUCUGUCUGCAUGAAAUACAUAUACAUUAACAUUAAAAAAAAAGAAGAAGAAGAAGAAAUAAACAUAAAAAACUUAAAAAAAAAAUAAAAAUAAUAAUAAAAAAACAUUUGGCAAUGUUCACAUAUAAUAGUUUUCUUCUGCAAUGGAUUUUUUGUCAUCCAAAAUUUUGUUCACCUUUCUUUGUUUUGUAUAAAACACACAAAUACAAGGAUGAGCUACUGCAAUAUUCAUCUAUGUAACUAUUAACAUCCCUAUAACAUUAUAUAAUAAGAGUUUGUUCUUAUUGUUCUGUCAUUCCUAUAUUGUCUCUCUCUUAGCCUUAACCUCUUAUUAAAGUGAUUGCAGUGUUUGUUGCAUUUCAGAAAUAAACAUAAAAGGUGCACAAAUCCUCUCCAUAGGAACAAAACAGAAAGACAAAAUACAUCUAGGCUGAGAGAGGUACCACAUCUGUUGUUAGACAAAGAGAGAAAUGUCCACUUUGUAAGAAAAACCCAUUAUUUUCAGAGCCAAUGAUGGAUAAUUUGAUAGGAUGUUACAAAUCCAAAAUUCGGGUACUAGAAACUGUGUUUCCUGCUUUCUCUCUCUCCUGUGCCACCUCUUCUCUAGCCAUUUGGCUGUUUUAUUAGUGAAGUUGUUUGGCUCACAGGGAUUGAGUGAGUGUCUGGUGAAAUUAGAGGUAGUUUCAAAGCCACGCUGUUUUCAAAUCUUUUCUUGAAAGGAGAAAACAGAAAAUAAAUGACCAAACUUUCUGGCACUGUGACGAGGAUAGAUUGACCUCUAGGUGUAUGCAUGUAAUAUGAGUGUGUUUUUGUACUAUGUUACACAGAACUCCAUUCAACCUGGGACAGGAUUCAAUCCUGGGACAAUAUUUGAAGAAACACAUGGAGCAAAACGGACACCGAAGAAAGAUAGUAACAGUACAGAGGGAACAAAAGAGAAAGUGUGAGAGCGAAAGAGACAAAGUGAGGGCAAAGUUUACUAUGACAGUGUGGCGCUAUGCAUCAGUUUCCUGCCCUACCUCUGUCAGCUCUUGGUCCUUCAGCACACACCAUGCCUGGGUAAAGCUGCUGCUGACUAGGAAGAGGCUCUUGGCAGGGCUCUUGGUGGGGGUUCCUAUCCUCUCCAUCGCUGUCCGUGCUGCCUUGGCUGUCCAGGCAAGGUGACGAGUGGUGUGGAUACAGGGCGUUCACAGGCAGGUGGCUCUGAAGAGGGUCCUCGUCUGAACUGAGAUGAGUGAGUUACCCAUGCCAUGGGCACUGACACACCCCUGGACCAUACAGACACUGGAUUUUGGACCUGACACCGAUAACAGCUUGGAUGGUCCUUUUCCUCUUUGGCCUGGAGAACACGACGGCUGUGUUUUUCAAAAACUGUUUGAAAUGUGGACUCAUCGGACCAAAACACACAGUUCCACUGUUCUACUUUCCAUCUAAGAUGAGACCGAGCCCAGAGAAGUCAGCAGCGUUUCUGGACAGUGUUGAUGUAGGGCUUCUGCUUUGCACAGUAAAGUCUUAACUUGCAUCUGUGGAUGCAGCAGCAAAUGGUGUUGACUAACAAAGGUUUACUAAAGUUAUCCCAAGCCCAUGUUCAUGAUAUCUAUUACAUAUGGAUGAUGUUAUUUAAGAGAGUGAUGUCGGAGGGAUCAGAGAUCACGUGCAUUCAGAAGUGGUUUUCGUCUUGCCCUUUAUGCACUGAGAUUUGACCAGAUUUAUUGAAUCUUAUAACUAUAUUGUGCACUUUAGAGGGUGAAAUACCCCAAAUCCUUCCAAUUUGUCUUUGGGGAACAUUGGUCUCAAAGUGCUGGAUUAUUUGCUGAAGCAUCUGCAAAUUAACAAGUCUUGAAUGAUCCUUGCUCUUGAAGGACUAGGCUGUUUUUGGAUGCUCCUUAUAUAAUAUGACAUGAUUGCCUCACCUGUUUAACAUCUCCUGUUUCACAUCGCCUUGUUAUUUUAACUCAUCAAAUUGUUAUUAAUCUUAAAUUGCCCGUCUCAACUUUUUUGGAGCGUGUUGCAAUCAUCUGAUUUGAAAUGACUAUACAUAAAUAAAAAAAAAACAACAACAAUGAAA